rnacentral:rRNA from 1 species
UACAGAGGCCCCAAGCGUUGUUCGGAUUCACUGGGCGUAAAGGGUGCGUAGGUGGUGAGGUAAGUCGGAUGUGAAAGCUCGGAGCUCAACUCCGAAAUGGCAUUGGAAACUACCUUGCUCGAGGGUUGGAGGGGGGACUGGAAUACUUGGUGUAGCAGUGAAAUGCGUAGAUAUCAAGUGGAACACCAGUGGCGAAGGCGAGUCCCUGGACAACUCCUGACACUGAGGCACGAAAGCUAGGGGAGCAAACAGG